rnacentral:rRNA from 1 species
AUGUUGAUGCAAGACUACUUCGCGGGCAAUCCAACCUAUCCGCUGCACCUCUUUCAGAGAAGGUAUCAAAUGCGCCGAUCACUCUUCGUAAAAAUUGUGCAAGCUUGUGAUGCAAAUUGCUGAUUUUUUACUCAAAGGAGAAACACCGCGGGCUUGUUGGGUUUUAGCGCCUAUAAAAAACUCUCUACGGCUAUGCGUGUGAUUGCAUAUGGUAUUCCGGUUGACUAUGCCGACGAGUAUCUUCGCAUUGGCGAUUGA